CCAGACUCCUACGGGAGGCAGCAGUGGGGAAUAUUGCACAAUGGGGGAAACCCUGAUGCAGCGACGCCGCGUGAGUGAAGAAGUAUUUCGGUAUGUAAAGCUCUAUCAGCAGGGAAGAAAAUGACGGUACCUGACUAAGAAGCCCCGGCUAACUACGUGCCAGCAGCCGCGGUAAUACGUAGGGGGCAAGCGUUAUCCGGAUUUACUGGGUGUAAAGGGAGCGUAGACGGCAUGGCAAGUCAGAUGUGAAAGCCCGGGGCUCAACCCCGGGACUGCAUUUGAAACUGUCAGGCUGGGGUGCAGGAGAGGUAAGUGGAAUUCCUAGUGUAGCGGUGAAAUGCGUAGAUAUUAGGAGGAACACCAGUGGCGAAGGCGGCCUGCUGGACCGCGACUGACGUUGAGGCUCGAAAGCGUGGGGAGCAAACAGGAUUAGAUACCCUCGUACA
rnacentral:rRNA from 1 species